rnacentral:rRNA from 1 species
AGAGUUUGAUCAUGGCUCAGAUUGAACGCUGGCGGCAGGCCUAACACAUGCAAGUCGAGCGGUAGCACAGAGAGCUUGCUCUCGGGUGACGAGCGGCGGACGGGUGAGUAAUGUCUGGGAAACUGCCUGAUGGAGGGGGAUAACUACUGGAAACGGUAGCUAAUACCGCAUAACGUCGCAAGACCAAAGUGGGGGACCUUCGGGCCUCAUGCCAUCAGAUGUGCCCAGAUGGGAUUAGCUAGUAGGUGGGGUAACGGCUCACCUAGGCGACGAUCCCUAGCUGGUCUGAGAGGAUGACCAGCCACACUGGAACUGAGACACGGUCCAGACUCCUACGGGAGGCAGCAGUGGGGAAUAUUGCACAAUGGGCGCAAGCCUGAUGCAGCCAUGCCGCGUGUGUGAAGAAGGCCUUCGGGUUGUAAAGCACUUUCAGCGGGGAGGAAGGCGUUAAGGUUAAUAACCUUGGCGAUUGACGUUACCCGCAGAAGAAGCACCGGCUAACUCCGUGCCAGCAGCCGCGGUAAUACGGAGGGUGCAAGCGUUAAUCGGAAUUACUGGGCGUAAAGCGCACGCAGGCGGUCUGUCAAGUCGGAUGUGAAAUCCCCGGGCUCAACCUGGGAACUGCAUUCGAAACUGGCAGGCUAGAGUCUUGUAGAGGGGGGUAGAAUUCCAGGUGUAGCGGUGAAAUGCGUAGAGAUCUGGAGGAAUACCGGUGGCGAAGGCGGCCCCCUGGACAAAGACUGACGCUCAGGUGCGAAAGCGUGGGGAGCAAACAGGAUUAGAUACCCUGGUAGUCCACGCCGUAAACGAUGUCGAUUUGGAGGUUGUGCCCUUGAGGCGUGGCUUCCGGAGCUAACGCGUUAAAUCGACCGCCUGGGGAGUACGGCCGCAAGGUUAAAACUCAAAUGAAUUGACGGGGGCCCGCACAAGCGGUGGAGCAUGUGGUUUAAUUCGAUGCAACGCGAAGAACCUUACCUGGUCUUGACAUCCACAGAACUUUCCAGAGAUGGAUUGGUGCCUUCGGGAGCUGUGAGACAGGUGCUGCAUGGCUGUCGUCAGCUCGUGUUGUGAAAUGUUGGGUUAAGUCCCGCAACGAGCGCAACCCUUAUCCUUUGUUGCCAGCGGUUCGGCCGGGAACUCAAAGGAGACUGCCAGUGAUAAACUGGAGGAAGGUGGGGAUGACGUCAAGUCAUCAUGGCCCUUACGACCAGGGCUACACACGUGCUACAAUGGCAUAUACAAAGAGAAGCGACCUCGCGAGAGCAAGCGGACCUCAUAAAGUAUGUCGUAGUCCGGAUUGGAGUCUGCAACUCGACUCCAUGAAGUCGGAAUCGCUAGUAAUCGUAGAUCAGAAUGCUACGGUGAAUACGUUCCCGGGCCUUGUACACACCGCCCGUCACACCAUGGGAGUGGGUUGCAAAAGAAGUAGGUAGCUUAACCUUCGGGAGGGCGCUUACCACUUUGUGAUUCAUGACUGGGGUGAAGUCGUAACAAGGUAACCGUAGGGGAACCUGCGGUUGGAUCACCU